GAAAUGAUCAUAAAUAUAAGCUGCUAACUUAUAAUUUUAACGAAUAAAAUCGUUUACAUUUCU
rnacentral:tRNA from 1 species